GCAAAGGCUCUUUCAGCAGAGCCACAAAACACCUUAAAACAAAGAGUU
rfam:Pseudovibrio sp. FO-BEG1, complete genome.